GAUUGUAUCCUCCAAUAAUGUCACUAAUAUUUUAACAAAAUAAGAAAUCCGCCAAUAAUCCAUCCCUUCUUCCUCUCUCUCGUCUGGCCUCUUCUCUCACUUCUCUCUUUCACUCUUCGCGUCUCUCUAUCAGAAGCAGUUCUCAUCUCUCUUCUUCUCUCCACCGCUCGUUUUUGAAAUUCUAACCAAUCUCUCUUCCACUCCCUUCUUCAAAUCUAGUCGUCACUAUCUCUCAGUUCUCACCCACUCUAAUUGGAAAAUUGGAAAAUUGUUUUAGGCUUAAUGAACUUGGCUUGUUUAUGAACGUUGCAGAAUUGUUCAUAAUUUGCUUUAGAAAAUUGCUUUAAGUUUCAGAAUUGCUUUAGGUUUGAGAAUUGCUUGUUUUUUUAUUUGUUUAUGAUAAGCUAGAAUUGCUUGUUUCAGAAUUGCUUUAAGUUUGAGAAUUGCUUGUUUUACAAUUGUUUAUGAUAAGCUAGGAUUUAUUGUUUCAGAAUUGCUAAUUCCAAUCAGUUAUGCAUUACUGGCCAUACUAUCAAAAUGCAUCAUGUUUGACAGCAUGAUUGGUCUAAAUUUCAUGAAAGUCUCUGUUAGGUCAUAAUAUCUAAAUUUCAUGAAAGUCUCUGUUAGGUCAUGACAGCCUUCUGUUGGUGCUGUUGCAAAUUUUAGGUGUUGUUGGGAGGUUUUUAGUUUUUCUAUUUUUUGUUGUUUUCUGUUUCCGGCUGCGCUGCUGUUUGGAUGCUGCUAUGCGCGGUUGUUUGGUUGUGCUGGCAGUACCUUUUGUAGCCCUUUCUUGUGCGAGUUUUGGAUGAUGUGCGAGUUUACGAGUUUUGGUAUCAGCUUUUGGAUGAUACUUCACUAGAUUGACGGACAUUGGAAAAACUAUACUUCAACUGGCUGCAAGAAGCAAUCUUAAGCCGAUGACAUUAGAACUUGGAGGGAAAUCGCCUUUCAUUGUCUUUGAGGAAGCUGAUAUUGACAAGGUUGUUGAAAUUGCUCACUUUGCUCUUUGCUUUAAUCAGGUUUAUAUUCCUUGUCUCAUUUUUUCUUUUUCUUCUUCUGUUCUUGUGUUGAUUUAACCAUACUUUUCAUGGGAAAGGUUAAUGUUUGACGGAACAACAUACUCUUGAUCAUACGAUAAUGUAACAUAACACUGUUUUGUGGUCCUUGCAAAAAAUCAUAGAUCGAUUUGAAACAUUA